GAUGAACGCUAGCGGCAGGCCUAAUACAUGCAAGUCGGACGGGGAUUCGGGACUUCGGUCCCGACGAGAGUGGCGCACGGGUGCGUAACGCGUAUGCAGUCUGCCUUGUACAAAGGGAUAGCCCAGAGAAAUUUGGAUUAAUACCUUAUAGUAUAUCGAUGUGGCAUCACAAUGAUAUUAAAGAUUUAUCGGUACAAGAU
rnacentral:rRNA from 1 species